rnacentral:rRNA from 1 species
CGAUGGGCCGACGUCGCAUGCUCCCGGCCGCCAUGGUUAGAGUUUAUCAUGGCUCAGGAUAAGUCGUAACAAGGUAACCGUAGAGUUUGAUCCUGGCUCAGGAUAAGUCGUAACAAGGUAGCCGUAAGUCGUAACAAGGUAGCCGUAGAGUUUGAUCCUGGCUCAGGAUAAGUCGUAAAGAGUUUGAUCAUGGCUCAGAUUGAACGCUGGCGGCAUGCCUUACACAUGCAAGUCGAACGGUAACGCGGGGCAACCUGGCGACGAGUGGCGAACGGGUGAGUAAUAUAUCGGAACGUGCCCAGUAGUGGGGGAUAGCCCGGCGAAAGCCGGAUUAAUACCGCAUACGACCUAUGGGUGAAAGCGGGGGAUUCGCAAGGACCUCGCGCUAUUGGAGCGGCCGAUAUCAGAUUAGCUAGUUGGUGGGGUAAAGGCCUACCAAGGCGACGAUCUGUAGCUGGUCUGAGAGGACGACCAGCCACACUGGGACUGAGACACGGCCCAGACUCCUACGGGAGGCAGCAGUGGGGAAUUUUGGACAAUGGGCGCAAGCCUGAUCCAGCCAUGCCGCGUGUGGGAAGAAGGCCUUCGGGUUGUAAACCACUUUUGUCAGGGAAGAAACGGUCUGGUUUUAUACACUGGGACUAAUGACGGUACCUGAAGAAUAAGCACCGGGCUAACUACGUGCCAGCAGCCGCGGUAAUACGUAGGGUGCAGGCGUUUAUCGGAAUUACUGGGCGUUAAGCGUGCGCAGGCGGCUUUGCAAGACAAAGUGGAAUCCCGGGGCUCACCUGGGAACUGCUUUU